rnacentral:rRNA from 1 species
CUGCAGCUAACGCAUUAAGCACUCCGCCUGGGGAGUACGACCGCAAGGUUGAAACUCAAAGGAAUUGACGGGGGCCCGCACAAGCGGUGGAGCAUGUGGUUUAAUUCGAAGCAACGCGAAGAACCUUACCAGGUCUUGACAUCCUUUGACCACUCUAGAGAUAGAGCUUCCCCUUCGGGGGCAAAGUGACAGGUGGUGCAUGGUUGUCGUCAGCUCGUGUCGUGAGAUGUUGGGUUAAGUCCCGCAACGAGCGCAACCCUUAUUGUUAGUUGCCAUCAUUCAGUUGGGCACUCUAGCAAGACUGCCGGUGACAAACCGGAGGAAGGUGGGGAUGACGUCAAAUCAUCAUGCCCCUUAUGACCUGGGCUACACACGUGCUACAAUGGGAAGUACAACGAGUUGCGAAGUCGCGAGGCUAAGCUAAUCUCUUAAAGCUUCUCUCAGUUCGGAUUGCAGGCUGCAACUCGCCUGCAUGAAGCCGGAAUCGCUAGUAAUCGCGGAUCAGCACGCCGCGGUGAAUACGUUCCCGGGCCUUGUACACACCGCCCGUCACACCACGAGAGUUUGUAACACCCGAAGUCGGUGAGGUAACCUUUUUGGAGCCAGCCGCCUAAGGUGGGAUAGAUGAUUGGGGUGAAGUC